ensembl:lncRNA
AAAUCAGUUAAUCACAUCUAAAAUAAAAGUUUGUUUACAUAAUAUGUGUGUACUGUGUAUAUUUAUAUGUAUAUAUAAAUACACACAUAUGCAUGUACAUAUUUUAAAAAUAUAUAUAUUUACACACACACACACACACACACACACACAUAAAUAUAUACAGGUGCUGGUCAUAUAAUUAGAAUAUCAUCAAAAAGUUGAUUUAUUUCAUUAAUUCCAUUCAAAAAGUGAAACUUUUAUAUAUUUAUAUAUUUGUAUAUUAUAUUCAUUCAUUACACACAGACUGAUAUAUUUCAAAUGUUUAUUUCUUUUAAUUUUGAUGAUUAUAACUGACAACUAAGGAAAAUUCCAAAUUCAGUAUCUCAGAAAAUUGGAAUAUUGUGAAAAGGUUCAAUAUUGAAGACACCUGGUGCCACACUCUAAUCAGCUAAUUAACUCAAAACACCUGCAAAGGCCUUUAAAUCAGGGCCGGCGCUCCGCACACGCACAUCACGCACUGCGCGUAGGGCACCAAGUGCUUGGGGGGGGCACCAAAAAAUCUGGGUCGUGAAAAAAAUCAUCACAAUAGGCUACUAGUAUAAAUAACAAAUAAAAUUAUUUCUAAAAAGCAUGUUAAUAUACAAAAGCAAUACAAAAGUAAUAUAGGCCUAGACCAAAUUAGUCGAGAAAAAGGUGAAUCUCUGUGCCAGUCUCCCUCUGGUGCCCCCCCUUCCCCACCUCCCAGUGGUCUGUUCGAUUAUGCCUCAAUCAAUGUCAAAUUUGGCAGACACCGACCUCAGACAUGGCCUCGAAAAGGCACCAAGAGUCGGGGGCGGAAAAAAGAAAAAAGAAGAGACAGCGGGAUGAUGCUCGCGCGUCGCUUGCAGCCACCAACAGAUCAGCUGCAAGAAAGCACUACAAAAGCCUGCAUUUAUUACACACACGCGUUCCACUGCCUGUCCAUCUCAGGCUCUCCCCGCUCCCCCACCCUCUCUUCCUAUCUGCCUGUGCAGAGCAUCUGCCGCCCAGAGAAGAGGGGGAACAUGGGAGCACAUUAGUCACCAGAUGUCACCUUUUGCUGCCAGCCCUAUCGAACAGGCAAGCAGACAAUGCAGCAUGCAUAGUGAACAUCUGACUGGGGCCCUCUUCAGCAAGACAGAGCUCACUGACUCGGAAUGACAGCUCCGACUGAAUGGCCCCGGCCCCAUUCUGUGUCAGGAGUGACACCUACAGUUCUCUCUGGAUAUACGCGCUGACUGUCACAACGCUGGAGUGAUAAUACCGCUAAUUACUGAACAUUGUCUUUGGUUGAUCUGAUUUCUGCAAAAGCACAAGAUUUUUUGUUUUACAACUCUGAUAUUUUUUUUUCCAGAAGAAUCUCAUGCAGGAUGAACAUGCUCUCCACAGGGAUUCCAAUCGUCAGUUGUUGUGCCUGAAAUAGUAAUGCCUGCAGGCACUAAAUCAUGCAUACAUUUCAGAUCCAUUAAGAAUGUACAAGGUGCACUUUUGUCAUAACUCAGGUCUGUUGUACUUCUGUUGGAACUCAGACAAGUGGAAGUUUCUUAUUUAUUUUUUUUGUGUUCCUAUUAACUAAUUUACAUUGGCCAAUUAAAGGGACAGUUCACAGAACUAUUACAGUUCUUUCAUGAUUUUCCAUCUCUUAUUAUAUAAAAGAUUUACAAUACUAGAGAUUUAUAUUACAUUAUGAUAUUAUAUUAUAUUUAGUGAUGUCAAAUGAUUAAUCACAAUUAAUCGCAUAAAAAUAAUGUUUUUGUUUGCCUAAUAUAUGUGUGUGUGUUCUGUGUAUAUUUAUUAUGUAUAUAUAAAUACACAUGCAUACAGUAUAUAUUUUGAAAAUAUUUACAUGUAUUUACAUGUCUAUAUUUAUAUUCAUAUAAUUUAUAUUAUAAAUAUACUUAAUAUAUAAACAUAAUAUAUUUUUCUGAAAUAUAUAUAUGCAUGUGUGUGUAUUCAUAUGUACAUAAUAAAUAUACACAGAACACACACACAUAUAUUAUUCAAACAAAAACUUUUAUUUUG